AUUGAACGCUGGCGGCCGGCCUAACACAUGCAAGUCGAGCGAGCGGCGGACGGGUGAGUAAUGUAUGGGGACUGCCCGAUAGAGGGGGAUAACUACUGGAAACGGUGGCUAAUACCGCAUACUAUCGGAUAACCCAUAUGGGAUUAGCUAGUAGGUGGGGUAAAGGCUCACCUAGGCGACGAUCUCUAGCUGGUCUGAGAGGAUGAUCAGCCACACUGGGACGGAGACACGGCCCAGACUCCUACGGAGGCAGCAGGGGGGAAUAUUGCACAAUGGGCGCAAGCCUGAUGCAGCCAUGCCGCGUGUAUGAAGAAGGCCUUCGGGUUGUAAAGUUCUUUCGGUAGCGAGGCGUUAACUACAGAAGAAGCACCGGCUAACUCCGUGCCAGCAGCCGCGGUAAUUC
rnacentral:rRNA from 1 species